rnacentral:misc_RNA from 1 species
UUUCCGUAGGUGAACCUGCGGAAGGAUCAUUCAUAAUAAAGUGUUUUAUGGCACUUUUUAAAAAUCCAUAUCCACCUUGUGUGCAAUGUUAGAUCUCGUCAAUCUUGGCGAGGUUUUUAUACAUCAACUCAUUCUUUAACUAAUUUGUCUGAAAAAUAUUAUGAAUACUUAAUUCAAAAUACAACUUUCAACAACGGAUCUCUUGGCUCUCGCAUCAAUGAAGAACGCAGC